GUUUAUCUUGCUGGAGUUGGAUUCUGUUGACCAGGUCAUCAAUACGUUUAUUCUGAGCUUCCAGCAUCCACUGAAAUAAAACAGACAGGUCACCGGGCUGCUGACGCACACCUGUCACCAUCGUCUCGUGUGCCUCAAAACACUCACCUGGACUCCAUCACCUCCUUGAUUAUAUUCCCGAUAUCUGUCACUCCCCUUGGUUCUUUCCUCAGGUGUUAUUGACUCUGUUUCAUGUCGGUGCGUUGUUUGUGUUUUGUGUUCAUUGUUUAUUUUAUUUAUUAAAACACUCCCUGUAUUUGC